GGCCGGCCUUGCGCCGCGGGGCCUGAGAAGUGGCCUCUGUCGGGAGCCCGGCUGAGCUGCCAGGCGUUGGAGUAGCCGGUUAAGGCAACAAGGCGAACAGGAAAGAGAUGCAGUUUACGUGGACUGACCCCUCUUCUCAACUUAGCCUAAGUGCUGUCUCUGAGGUCACAGGUUUCUUGUCCUGGUUUUCUGAGUACACAUGAAAAUCAUCCAUAAAAAGACUGGAUGCGAGUCGCUCACCUGCCCAUGAUUGACGAGCAGUGUCCCAACCUGUGACAAGGAGUGGAAGUAGAAGAUGCCACCCAAGGUCACGUCCGGUUCUGCCUGUGAAACAAUCCAACAG